rnacentral:rRNA from 1 species
GCCUACGGGGCGCAGCAGUAGGGAAUCUUCCACAAUGGACGAAAGUCUGAUGGAGCAACGCCGCGUGAGUGAAGAAGGGCUUCGGCUCGUAAAGCCCUGUUGGUAGAGAAGAAAGAUAGAGGGAGUAACUGGCCUUUAUUUGACGGUAAUUAAUUAGAAAGCCACGGCUAACUACGUGCCAGCAGCCGCGGUAAUACGUAGGUGGCAAGCGUUAUCCGGAUUUAUUGGGCGUAAAGCGAGCGCAGGCGGG